CAGUAGCCGCGGUAAAACAGAGGGUGCAAGCGUUAAUCGGAAUUACUGGGCGUAAAGCGCGCGUAGGUGGUUUGUUAAGUUGGAUGUGAAAUCCCCGGGCUCAACCUGGGAACUGCAUCCAAAACUGGCAAGCUAGAGUAUGGUAGAGGGUGGUGGAAUUUCCUGUGUAGCGGUGAAAUGCGUAGAUAUAGGAAGGAACACCAGUGGCGAAGGCGACCACCUGGACUGAUACUGACACUGAGGUGCGAAAGCGUGGGGAGCAAACAGGAUUAGAUACCCCAGUAGUCCCUGUCUCUUAUAC
rnacentral:rRNA from 1 species